CACCACUCGGUUUUCGGCAGGGACGCUCCGAAGUCCCAAGCCCAAGUUGCUUUCCUGGUUUGGAAAUGUUAUUUUUACUUUGGAUGAGUUCCCUACAAGAGUUCACCAUUCAGCUGUACAAACAGCUACAUGGCAGAACAGAGAGAACAGAGCGGGAGUUCAGCGCUUUGAAACAAUGAGAGCACCAGCGUGGACUGUUUAAGAUUUGCUUACAAUUGACCAUUAAUGAGGGGCAGAAUCAGUUUGGCUGAAGUUUCACAGACAAAAAGCGUCAGAGCAGGAGACUCCCAGCUUCUGACUCCAGCUCUACUGAACAGAUCGUAUUAAAGGAAUCACAGUCAAGUCAUAAACACAAGAAGACAGAACAAAAUUAAAUUUUAAUCUUUAUGUAAAAAAGGAU
rnacentral:lncRNA from 1 species